AACUCCGUAGUUAAACGUGCUAGGGCGAGAGUAGUACUAGGAUGGGUGACCUCCUGGGAAGUCCUUGUGUUGCACCCC
rfam:Gossypium raimondii Chr06_contig_393, whole genome shotgun sequence.